rnacentral:lncRNA from 1 species
CCAAUAUUAAAUAAUGACAAUUGGGCUCAGACACAAAAUCAUCACAGCCCAGUUACAACCCAAUUACAAGGUAUACCAUGGAUAUACCGAAAUUAUACACUGAGUAUACACAAAAAUGUACAAGCAUAUACUAAGCUAAAUCAUGUAGCUUCUCUCAUCUCAACAAAUUUUAGUAAAAGAUAACUCACAGCACUUGAAUUUUCUCGAAACAUUACACUAAGAAGCCCAUAAUGUGAUCUAUAAAUUUGAUAGACCUCUACUCUACUAAACGACAUUGCCUAUGCUGGGCUUUCCGCGUAUACUGGGCCAAAUGUGCAACUUGCCCAACAUAUGAGAAAACUACAUAAUAAGCCAUGAAAGUUUUAUCUAGCUAUAUUAUAAUAAAAAUCUAUUUAUUAUUUUUAUUUAGUUUUUUUAUUAAUUACUAUAUAUCUAUAUUUAUUAGUUUAUACAAAAUCAUAAAAAGGAAGAAAUAAAACAUACCUUAAAUAUUGGGUACCAGUUACAUAUAAUCCCCUAUAUUUAGGACUCUUUCUUUUUCCAAUGAAAACUAUAUUUACGUAUCCAAAAUCAUCUCUGUAAGAAACCCAAUGAACCCCAUUAUCAUCAUCUCUCGUUACCCACAGUAAGAAACUCAUAGAUACUCAAGAUAUCUCAAAAAUCUCGCUUACUCACCCCUCUUCCACUGUUAUCCCCCAAAAACUGCAUAUUCUUUCCUCUUCCAAAGUUGUUGAUAUACGAUUUCUCUCUUUAAUCAUUCAAAACCUCUUUUUUAUUUAUACAAUACAUAAGAGAUUCGAAGAUUUUCUCUACAAUCAAGUUGUGGGUAAACUUUACUCUACAUUAAAAUUGAUUUUAGAUUGAAUUUCAUAAUGAAACUCGAGGAAGAUGAAGUUUCGGAAAUAUAUUACGAUUGUAUGAUAAAGGUAUCAUAAUUGUAUCUGAGUUGUAUUUAAUACAUCAAUACUUAAGAAAAUUCUGAUACAAUACUAAUACUAUUAACAUAUAAUAUUGUAUUAUAAUUAAAGUCUAGAGUUAGUUCUAGGUAAAUAAUUUAAAUUGAAGUUUGAAAAAGAAGAAGAUCAAAGUUGAAUCGUAAUUUAGAAUUAUAUCACAAUUGUAUCAUAACUAGUACCUAAAAUAAUACAUGGUAAAAUACUAAUACAAGUAUAUACAAUAUUGUAUUAUUUUAAGUUCAGAGUCGGUUUUAAGUUGUACCAUAAUUGUAUCAGAACUCUUUCAGGAUUGUAUCAAAAUUUGAAUUUGAAUUAUGACCAGUUGUGAGAUCAUGACGAAUUUCAAAGUUUGUAUAAAAAAUAUAUGAUAAUUAUAUAUUAAUUUACUAAUAUUGUAUCAGGUAUUAUUUUGGAUAUUAUUGUACCAUCUACAAGUUAUAUACAAUUGUGAUACAAGUAUGGUACAAUUAUGUUUUACAUAUUGAUAUAUUUGAUACAAUUUAAAUACAAUUAUAGUACAUUUAUCAUACAACUCUUGAAUAUUUCUUCAUUUUCAAUGUUGUUCGGUCUCCCAGCAAAAGUACGAUGUAAUUAAUUAUUUAAUAAUAUAAAAUUAUAGGCAAUAGUGGAAAGAGAGAAGAUGGAGAUUACUGGGCGCAGAUUAAGGAAUUUUGUUGUAAGAAAAUGAGAGGGAAAAAAGAAAGGGAUAUAAUUGAAUCCCUUAAUUAAAGGCACUAAUAAUGAGGUGAGAUCCUUUUAAGGAGCAAUCUGCACAAUUUAUAAGAAAAACCUAGAUACUUAUUAAAAACUAUAAAACAUAAAGAACAUUGGUAAAUAAGUUUCAAAUAUAGUAUAACUAGGUAAACGUGUGUGUGUGUGUGUGUGUAUAUAUGUUAUUAUAGAGAAAAGAAGGAAAAUGAAUACUUGGUAGGUGAGAAACAUGUCUCACCUACAUAUAUACAUGUUACACACGGACGGGUCGGGUCGGGCGAUUCGGCCCAAUAUUAAAUAAUGACAAUUGGGCUCAGACACAAAAUCAUCACAGCCCAGUUACAACCCAAUUACAAGGUAUACCAUGGAUAUACCGAAAUUAUACACUGAGUAUACACAAAAAUGUACAAGCAUAUACAAAGCUAAAUCAUGUAGCUUCUCUCAUCUCAACACCCCCCUCCAGUUGGAGGGGGAAACCACCUACAACUUGGUGAGCAGCGGAAGAAGUAAAGUGCCAGGUAGGGGCUUAGUGAGCAAGUCGGCCAGCUGACGAGAAGUAGGCACAUGAAGCAACUUGAGAAAACCAGAAAGUAGCAAGUCCCGAAUAAAAUGGCAAUCC